rnacentral:piRNA from 1 species
UGACCUUUUUGGAUUUCUUUUUCUCCUGU